AGUUUGAUCCUGGCUCAGGACGAACGCUGGCGGCGUGCCUAAUGCAUGCAAGUCGAGCGACGAAUAGGUGCGGGUAACCAACCCUAUUACGGAGCGGCGAACGGGUGAGUAACACGUGAGCAACCUGCCCCGCAGAUCGGGAUAGCCCAGGGAAACUUGGAUUAAUACCGGAUAUUCUCUUCGAACCACAUGGCUCAAAGAGGAAAGCUUUUGUGCUGCGGGAUGGGCUCACGGCCUAUCAGCUUGUUGGUGGGGUAACGGCCUACCAAGGCGUCGACGGGUAGCUGGUCUGAGAGGACGAUCAGCCACACUGGGACUGAGACACGGCCCAGACUCCUACGGGAGGCAGCAGCAGGGAAUUUUGCGCAAUGGGCGAAAGCCUGACGCAGCAACGCCGCGUGGGGGAUGAAGGCCUUCGGGUUGUAAACCCCUUUAGGGAGGGACGAAAUUGACGGUACCUCCAGAAUAAGCCCCGGCCAACUACGUGCCAGCAGCCGCGGUGAUACGUAGGGGGCAAGCGUUGUCCGGAAUCAUUGGGCGUAAAGAGCUCGUAGGCGGCUUAGUUAGUCGGUCGUGAAAGCCCGAGGCUUAACUUCGGGACUGCGGUCGAUACUGCUAUGGCUAGAGUUUGGUAGAGGAGAACGGAAUUCCCGGUGUAGCGGUGGAAUGCGCAGAUAUCGGGAGGAACACCUGUGGCGAAGGCGGUUCUCUGGGCCAAUACUGACGCUGAGGAGCGAAAGCGUGGGGAGCGAACAGGAUUAGAGACCCUGGUAGUCCACGCUGUAAACGUUGGGCACUAGGUGUGGCGACCCGAUCAACGGUUGCCGUACCGAAGCUAACGCAUUAAGUGCCCCGCCUGGGGAGUACGGCCGCAAGGCUAAAACUCAA
rnacentral:rRNA from 1 species